rnacentral:rRNA from 1 species
CCUACGGGAGGCAGCAGUGGGGGAUAUUGCACAAUGGGGGAAACCCUGAUGCAGCGAUGCCGCGUGAAUGAAGACGGCCUUCGGGUUGUAAAGUUCUUUCGCGGGGGACGUAAAUGACGGUACCCUGCAAGAAAGCUCCGGCUAACUACGUGCCAGCAGCCGCGGUAAUACGUAGGGAGCAAGCGUUGUCCGGAAUUACUGGGUGUAAAGGGAGCGUAGGCGGGGGGAUAAGUUGAAUGUGAACUCUAUGGGCUCAACCCAUAGCUGCGUUCAAAACUGUUCUUCUUGAGUGAAGUAGGGGCAGGCGGAAUGCAUGGUGUAGCGGUGAAAUGCGUAGAUAUUAGGAGGAACGCCGGUGGCGAAGGCGACCUGCUGGGCUUUUACUGACGCUGAGGCUCGAAAGCGUGGGUAGCAAACAGGAGUAGAUACCCUAGUAGUC